UUAGUCCCGCAACGAGCGCAACCCUUUUCCUUACUUGCCAGCAUUUCGGAUGGGAACUUUAAGGAUACUGCCAGUGACAAACUGGAAGAAGGCGGGGACGACGUCCAGUCAUCCUGGCCCUUACGGCCAGGGCUACACACGUGCUACAAUGGUCGGUACAAAGGGUUGCUACACAGCGAUGUGAUGCUAAUCUCAAAAAGCCGAUCGUAGUCCGGAUUGGAGUCUGCAACUCGACUCCAUGAAGUCGGAAUCGCUAGUAAUCGCGGAUCAAAAUGCCGCGGUGAAUACGUUCCCGGGCCUUGUACACACCGCCCGUA
rnacentral:rRNA from 1 species